CCUACGGGAGGCAGCAGUGAGGAAUAUUGGUCAAUGGGCGUAAGCCUGAACCAGCCAAGUCGCGUGAGGGAUGAAGGUUCUAUGGUUCGUAAACCUCUUUUAUAAGGGAAUAAAGUGCGGGACGUGUCCUGUUUUGUAUGUACCUUAUGAAUAAGGAUCGGCUAACUCCGUGCCAGCAGCCGCGGUAAUACGGAGGAUCCGAGCGUUAUCCGGAUUUAUUGGGGUUAAAGGGUGCGUAGGGGGCUUUUUAAGUCAGAUGUGAAAUUUUGUGGCUCAACCAUAGAAUUGCAGUUGAAACUGGGAGUCUAGAGUAUGGUUGAGGUAGGCGGAAUGCGUGGUGUAGCGGUGAAAUGCGUAGAGAUCACGAAGAAUACCGAUUGCGAAGGCAGCCUGCUAGGCCAUCACUGACGCUGAUGCGCGAAAGCGUGGGGAGCAAACAGGAUUAGAUACCCCGGUAGUC
rnacentral:rRNA from 1 species